rnacentral:lncRNA from 1 species
UGUUAAGUUAAAGAAUAUCAGCAAUUUCAGAAUAGACUCUUCCAUAUGUUGCUGUGUCUUUUUAAAUUUUUAAUCAAUAAUGUUAAAGAAAUAGAAGUGAUAUGAUGAGAGAUGAUGACCAUGACCAUUUGUUCUUUUAUUAUGCAGUAACUUCUGAGUACCUCCUAUGUCUUAGUCCCACACUAGACUAGAAUCACAAGUCAUGGGCUGUAUCAUUAAGAUCAAAGUCUGGCUGAGCACAGUGGUACCUGCCUGUAAUCCCAGCAACUCAGGAAGCUGAGGCAGGAGGGUCUCAAGUCGGAGGACAUCCUUAGCAACUUAGUGAAACCCCGUCUCAAAAUGAAAAUUAAAAAGAGACUGGGGGUGUAACUCAGUGGUACACUAUUCCUGCGUUCAAACCCCAGAACAGAAGAGGAGGAGGAAGAGGAGGAGGAGAGAGAGGAAAGAAGAAGAAAAGGAGAGAAGAGGAGGGGGAGGGAAAAUAAGAGGGUGAAGAUAUCAGUCUGGCUGAGAAGCAAGCUUGCAAAUCAACAAGAAUGUAGUGUUGUCAUAUUGAAUUAUGGGAUAUUUGGUAGGAACACAAAGCAAAUGGUCAAUACUUGGAAAUUUUAAUCAGAAACAGUUUCAUAGUGAAGAAGCUGUUUCAGGUGAGACUUAAGAGAGACAAAAAGAAAAAAGUAUUCCAGAUAGAAGGAGCAGUUUGAAUAACAGCCUAGGAGCUUGACUUCCCAUCAUAUAUUGUAAGGAUCAUAUAACCAGUCUGACAUGACUUGGAAAUAGUACAUGUGGUAGUGAUUGAAAUUAAAGAUGGCAUAGAUUUACGUGGAGGUGUGACAUCAGAGAUCCCCCAAACCUUGUGGAAAUAACAGAAUACUGAUAUCUGCAAAGGAUACAUUUUUAGCAACAACACAACAUACCAUCAGGCAUUAGAGACUUCUUUGUAUGCAUAGGUUCUUGAGUCUCCAUACAUGAUAGUGUUAGGGAAGAUAACCAGAUGAUGUCUCAUCAAGUCUCAGAUAACUUUAGAUUAGGGAUGACUAAGUCAUGCUGCCCCAAAUGCAUCACCCAAAAUACCCAGAAAAAUUACUUUAGCAUGCCAAGCCCCGUAGGUUCUAUCAUUUCCUGGGCAACCAGUGCCAUCUGAUGCCAUUGUUCACAGCUGUAUAACCUAGUACAGGUAAUGGACAUGAAGAGGUUGCACUGAAAUCACAUAUUGAUGGUGUCCUUGAACCUAAGCAAU